AUCCAGCCAUGCCGCGUGUGUGAAGAAGGCCUUAUGGUUGUAAAGCACUUUAAGCGAGGAGGAGGCUCUUUUGGUUAAUACCCAAGAUGAGUGGACGUUACUCGCAGAAUAAGCACCGGCUAACUCUGUGCCAGCAGCCGCGGUAAUACGAAGGGGGCUAGCGUUGCUCGGAAUUACUGGGCGUAAAGGGAGCGUAGGCGGACAUUUAAGUCAGGGGUGAAAUCCCGGGGCUCAACCUCGGAAUUGCCUUUGAUACUGGGUGUCUUGAGUAUGAGAGAGGUAUGUGGAACUCCGAGUGUAGAGGUGAAAUUCGUAGAUAUUCGGAAGAACACCAGUGGCGAAGGCGACAUACUGGCUCAUUACUGACGCUGAGGCUCGAAAGCGUGGGGAGCAAACA
rnacentral:rRNA from 1 species